rnacentral:rRNA from 1 species
CCUACGGGAGGCAGCAGUGGGGAAUAUUGCGCAAUGGGGGGAACCCUGACGCAGCAACGCCGCGUGAAGGAUGAAGGCCUUCGGGUUGUAAACUUCUUUGAUUGGGGAAGAAAUUUGACGGUACCCAAAGAACAAGCCACGGCUAACUACGUGCCAGCAGCCGCGGUAAUACGUAGGUGGCGAGCGUUGUCCGGAAUUACUGGGUGUAAAGGGCGUGUAGGCGGGGAUGCAAGUCAGAUGUGAAAUUCCGGGGCUCAACCCCGGCACUGCAUCUGAAACUGUGUCUCUUGAGUGCUGGAGAGGAAAGUGGAAUUCCUAGUGUAGCGGUGAAAUGCGUAGAGAUUAGGAGGAACACCAGUGGCGAAGGCGACUUUCUGGACAGUAACUGACGCUGAGGCGCGAGAGCGUGGGGAGCAAACAGGAUUAGAUACCCUAGUAGUC